CCCAAGCCGAGGGCCGCGUGCGGGAUGGCUGCCCGCGCCCCGCUGCACCGCACAAGUCUUCCUAAACAAAGCUGGUGGAAUUACACGCUUCUGUGGAGAGCCUCAUGUAACGGAAAAGUCUCAGAUUACUAUCGCUUGAAAAGGAGGGCACUUCUCUUCAUUUAUUUUCAAUACCGUUCGCUUGAAAAAGCAACACGCGCACAGAAGCACUCAUUCAGUAUUUAGCAGCGGGCGAGGAGAGGACUCAGAAAAACGUGCUCCCCAGCAUGCUGGGUACAAACGAAACCUUUGUGAAGGGGUUCUGUAAGCAGCCAGUUCCUUUCGCUCAAUUUCAUGUCGCUGCCAACGUGGAAGAUGUUGACACGUCCCGUGCACGUGAGUGCAGGUGCUCGCUCUGCCUGCUGGAGUGCAGCUCCUGGAGUUGGCUUUAGGAUGGGUCAGCUUUCCCUUGGGGCCGUGAGCUCCUUCCCUCACUCACACACAAGAGUGAAAUGAAAAGGUUGGCAUGUGGGCUGAACAACAGGUCCCCAAGCAACAGAUGUGACAGACUUCAGUAAUGAUGAUAUCAGCUCCUUGGGAUGGCCCCAAUCACCGGGUGCUGCCGACUCAUCUGCCAGAGCGUUACUUACACUCUGCUGGGCCUCCUGUGGACAUUUUGAAGGCUCCACUUAACAGGGAGUUUUAGGUCAGUGGCAAACAGAAUCUUCCUCAAAGUGCCUUCCUGAUACGUCUGGGAGAGCCAAGGGCAUCGCAGUGGAAGGGAAAGGGGCAGACUGAAAAGCAGGAGACCGCAGAGACUGCUGUCACUAAAGGACCUGCACACACUUCCCUCCGGCCAGGCCCGGUAGGCCUGCAGCAGCUCAGCUCUGGCCCCUGGCACAGACCUGGGCUCAGGAUGAACCUGCAUGCGGUGACAAAGGCGGCUCAAACCCUUCGGGAAAACUGACAGAUCUGCCCAUAAUGUCAACCUACUACUGAAACUGGGUCAGUUCCACCUGGUUUCGUGUUUCAGCGUGAACAGUUUUCACAACUCCCAGAUGAACAGGAAAGUUGACAUGACUUUUGCAAGAGCGUGUCCUUGCUAAGCGCAGCAGUGGAACACUUGCCAGAAAAGCCUGCAGAGAAGAGCUAUUCUAGUAUUUCGUGUCUGGAAAAGACCGUGGCUUCUCUUGGUGUGUAUUCCAGACUAAAUGGCUUUUUCUGAGUUGUACUGCUUCCCAUAUCAAAGCAGGGAAGAACCCCUGAAGUACCCCAAAAAUGACACUUACAGGUUUUCCUUGGCCCACAGAAUGAACUCAGUUUGCUACCUGACUUAGACGAAUAACUCUUCUAAAAAGUCUAUUAAAAUCAAGCAUGGCACACAAUCAUGCAGUUAAGAUACUCAUUUUCUCUGAAAUUUUGGUGUGAAACCACUUCUCGAUUUGAUUCCAGAGAAGAAGUUUCAGCAUGCUAUUUUAAAAGGUGAUGUUUCUAUUGCCUCUCCUCAAUCCUCAACCCCUCUCCUUCUCUGACUGAAUUGCACCCACGUUUAUAUGUAGGGAGAAGAAAGUGUUUCACCGCUCCUUGAUCUUUUCUUCCACUUGUCCUGUUUUCUUUUUUUUCCCCCCCAGAAUUAGACCACAAACAGAGGAGGAGAUGCACUGUUGCUGCACCAUAAUCACUCAGGCAUGCAAAUUCAAUCUUCUGUAGCUACUGAGCCAAAUGAAAACAGGGUGAAAACAAUAAGCAGGACACACUGAUCUUUAUAAAUCUCCAUAAGCCAGAUGAUUUAUUUCUACCAUUUCCCCUGCUUCCCAUAUAUAGUAGGGAAAGCAGGGAGGCUGUAUUAAUGCUUGUAAAUAUAUCCUAACAGUGACCAGCCACUUCGUAGGUGAUAAGUUCAGGGGAAAGAAAUAAGAAGGCACCUUUCUGCUCUGCCUGUUCCGUAACCGGAGAAACUCGAGCCUCUAAACUAGAAACCUCUGAACCUAACUGAGCUCCAUAAAGAACCUGAGCUCCUCUUAUACCUAAGCAACAAAGCUCCAGAACAGCAUAGGUACAGGCAUGAGCUGUUCCUAUAGUUCUUUCAAAAUAAACUGGGGAGAAAACGGAAAGAUGUUAGAAAAAGAAGUUUGGAAGUUGUGUUCUUGUUGGUGUUGUUUGUUUUUAAUCCCAGAUGCAGAACUACGAGCUGAAAGCUUUGUUUCUAGAGUCAACACAAAUGAAACACUUCUUUCAAGAGCAAAUCUCACCCACAUUUCAUCAUCUGGCGACUGCCUGUCAUUGCAAAGAAAAAAAGUUUCAUGAUCAACUGACUAAAUACUAAUUGUCUGACAGAACGUUAUUAUUCCACAAGCCACGUUUCAUUCUCCCACAUGUACAAGAGCUGCUGUGUACAACAUACAUCCACCCCAAAGGCUUAAUAACAUUUAAAGAAAGUAAAACAAAAUUUAAAAAAAAUCCACAUUGUGCAACAUACAGAUACAAAGUGAUUGGGGGGAAAAAAAGUGUUGGCACUGCACACUGAAAGAGAUCAAAGCUAAUAGGAAGAAUGCUACAAGCUGAAAAAGUGCCACUCAGAAGCAAAUUUUCAUCCUCUGUGCUAGUCCAGUCUCUGCCUCUGUUCCUAUUCAUUCUGCCUCUUCCCAUCAAGGCAAUCUGGGUUUAUAUCUCUCCAGGAUAUUACUUCAAGAUAUGAAUCAAAGCUCUGAUCCGAGGGGAUGAUUUCAUCACUAAUCUUUCUCCAUUAGAAGAACUCCAAGGUUAACAGAAAUUAGUAAACAUCUUUUAAUCCUGUACUGCAUUUUGCUUUGCAGUAUGCUCUGUUAGACAUUAUUUAUACUUCAGGGAGUGCUUUCAUGCAGUAUCCAAGCAACAGAUAGAAGGAAAAAUGCACGGCACAUUGCAGAUUUGGCUGAAUAAAUAAAAUAAACACAGAGACAUUGCUGGUUAGGAUGUAAGACAAGAACACUCUUUUCUGCAUACACAUCUUUUGUGGAAAGACAUCUAUUACAUUGUAGAUUCAUGACUCAUUUCUGAAGUGCAUCCACAACCAAGCUCAUCCCUGCUAAAAUCACAAAUUAAAGAAGUGACAUGGCCAUUAUUGGCACACAAUUUCUUUAAGAGAGAAAUCCUUUCCAAUAAGACGAUGCAGCAAAAUAAACAGAACAAUCACAUUAGUUCAGUGAAGGGUCGUUAACAGUUACCCCGUGGUUUCUCUGUAUGAAGUAUCUCCAAAGCAUUGAUUCCAACAGCAAAGAUUAAGACUAUAAAGACUAUAAUGAUCAGGUUUCCUGUGGUGGCCAUUAUGGGUUAGAUUCCCAGCUGAUGGAAGUCAGUGUGGUCUCACAGAAGCCAGCAGGAAAAUGCCAAUCUGUACCAACUGACAAGCUGGUUGGUUGGUCUCCCAAACCACCAACCUCUGCCCCAGCUCUGCUGUUGCUCCUGGCUCAGCUCUCACUAUGGAGAAUGCAUCUCACAGUGAGGCUGCUUCCUCUCUUUAAGCAGCUGGAGUAGGCAGCGUUUGAUUCCACAAAGCCUACCCUGCCUUUCCUUGCUCAUUGGAUGUUGCCGCAGAACGCUGCACCUCACUCAUCCCAUCUCUGCAAGCAGCCAAAAGCAAAUCCCCUGGUGCUUUUACUCUUCCCCAAUGCUGUGGUGAUGAAUGGAUGAUGAAAACUACAACAGACAGGAGAGAGCUGUGCCGUGCCAGUGUGGGAGUUAAGCAACACACCUAGAAAUCAGUGCAUGUAAGGAAGCACAGCAUGAAGGUUAGCACAGAGACCACGAGUCCAACACCAAGGUAUGACAGAGCAGAUUUACCCGUGCUUUCAGGAUUCCCCUCACAGGUAUUUUCAUUGGUAAGAUCCUAAAAGUAGAUAUGCAUAUGAACACACACAGCAUACAUACAUCAGGUUUCCUCUUUAAGUCCAGACGGCUUUUUAUUAUUUCAUCACUUCUCAACUGCAGUACUUUGUCAGAUGUCCUACAUUUACUACAAAAAUGUUCUUCUACCUUAUUUUGCCAAAUUACUGCAUUGCUGACCUUAGCACAGAAUCAGACUUCUGUGAAUACAUGUCUGGCAUACAUCUGCAGAUGUCCACAAGAAACUGUACCACCUGUGCUCUCGUCCAAGGACUUACUGGGAUUCAGAGAUCAGUCAGAACAGCCUCAUUCACCGGCGAGAUGCUAGGUUCUCCCGAGUGCAUCUCUGACUGGAUAUUGCCUAGUCUUGAAAGAAUGUAAUCAGAGAUGUAAAAUGAUUGCAGCUGUCAGACUUUCCACACUGUGAGGCUGCCAGCAAGUGCUCCUUUUCCACCCCCAGCCCUAAGCAGCUCAACGCCCAUUUUCCAGUUUCACUCGUUCUGCCUGAGCAAGGUCUGCUGGAUCAGUUAUUCACAAGGAUGCAAUCAGUUUCAUGCAUCACUCUGUUACCAUGCAAUCACAAAUACCAUUCAUCAAGUAGACAAGCAUGUAUGAUUCCAGAUAAUUCACAAAUUACACUCAGCACAACUUUCUUCACAAGCCUAGCUCCACGCUCAGGCAGCUCCACUGGCCCAUGGAUCUGGUACCUGGUCAGUUUGCAAAGAUCUGGUUAAUAUCUCCACAUUGUUUGUACACUACCCAUUGAUUCAGAGAGAGAAGAAAACUUCAAACUAUGCAGAACGGAUACCAAAAUCAUAUUACUAUAGCAGUGAGAUACAAAUGGUCCUUAUACUUGAUUACAUUUUUGAUGGGAUAUCACUGAAUCAAGUUGUUCAUUUGAAAGUAAUUUUAUGUUGCGUGGACAAAAUGAUGCCUUCACAGGCAGAAAUUGGUCUAUUCAUGAUCUUUAAAAUUAAAGUGCUACGAACAAAAUAUUA